GGGGCUGAUUCUGGAUUCGACGGGAUUUGCGAAGCCCUAGGAGCAUGCCGAGGGGCGGUUGGCCUCGUAAAAAGCCGCAAAAAAAUAGUCGCAAACGACGAAAACUACGCUUUAGCAGCUUAAUACCCUGCUCAGAGCCCUCUCUCCCUAGCCUCCGCUCUUAGGACGGGGAUCAAGAGAGGUCAAACCUAAAAGAGAUCGCGUGGAUGCCUUGCCUGGGGCUGAAGCGUUAAACCCAAUCAGGAUAGUUUGUUAGUGGCGUGUCCAUCCGCAGCUGACCGGCGAAUGUAAAGAUUGGACUAAGCAUGUAGUGCCGACGGUGUAGUAAUUUCGGACGGGGGUUCAAAUCCCCCCAGCUCCACCA
rnacentral:tmRNA from 2 species